rnacentral:lncRNA from 1 species
AUGGCUCCUAAUAGCCAAGGCGGGGGGAGGGGGGUGGCUAUUACUCCCCACCUCGCAGGGGGUGCCUCACUCCGGGACACAAAUGCACAGCCCACUGUGCCUGUAGUUUGUCUUCUAGGAAUGGACCUCUUCUUGUACGGCCUCUCAGAUGAGAUGAAGCAGGCCCACAGGGAGCAGCUCUUCACUGUCAGCUAUAGAGCCAGAAAGGAAAGCCUCCACGCCAGCUCUUGGCCGUUGGACUCCGAUUUCCCAAACAGCUGGUUUUUGGUGUCUCCUCUCCCUCCAUACAGCUCUCCGCCCACGUUUCUGAGGAGAGCAGGAGCCUGGGGUCCAGGCCCAGGGUCCUGGCCUGCUGCUCUGGAUGGAAACUGACACGUGACAAAUAUGUAACA